AAGUGUCACAGCUCUUUUAGAAUUUGUCUAGCAGGGUUUGUAGUUUUCACCGGGAAACAAAA
rnacentral:snRNA from 1 species